ACCUGUUGCUCCAGAUCUGAGGUAGGUUUUCCAUCCCACUUUCUCAUGUCCUCUCCGUGAUCCCGCAGAUAAAGCCAUAAGGUGGCCUGUGGUGUAUAACUUCAAUAU